ensembl:snoRNA SNORD54 small nucleolar RNA U54
GAGCAAUGAGGAUAAGAAUUUGACCAUGAUAACCAUGAUUCUUGUAUACGCUAUUCUGAGCUAAGG